GACCGACAGUGUGAGGAAUACAAUACCGCAAGGGAAUAACUCCGCUGUUCAUACUACAGUUUUGAGCUGUCGGUCGCCCUAAU
rnacentral:ncRNA from 20 species